GGGGUGGGGAUCUUGGGGAGGCAGUCGGGGGCUUGGAGAGGCUAUGAUGACUGCCUGUGCGAGAUGCACCUAAAGAGUUUAGAGAGAGAUUGAUGGAGGUGAUGCAUUUUUGUUCUUAUUGUUAUAGUUACAGGGCAAGCUUGGAUGGUCUGCUACAUCACAGGCAACCGCUCGUAGCCACCUUAUAGUUAAAGGUUCAGAGGAACUUGCAAUGCUUUAUUUUUCAAUGGUAGAUUUGAGCCUUCUUCUUUUUUAAUUACAAUAG
rnacentral:lncRNA from 1 species